UACGAGUGCCCCAAGCGUUAUCCGGAAUCACUGGGCGUAAAGCGCACGUAGGCGGAUUGCUAAGUCAGGGGUGAAAUCCUGGAGCUCAACUCCAGAACUGCCUUUGAUACUGGCGAUCUCGAGUCCGGGAGAGGUGAGUGGAACUGCGAGUGUAGAGGUGAAAUUCGUAGAUAUUCGCAAGAACACCAGUGGCGAAGGCGGCUCACUGGCCCGGUACUGACGCUGAGGUGCGAAAGCGUGGGGAGCAAACAGG
rnacentral:rRNA from 1 species